UGGCCGGGGGCCCUGGCCCCAAACCCGGUGGNAGUAAUGGUGGCCUUAAAUUUCGGAAUGCAAACCCGGAAAGAAACCUUAACCCGGGCCCUUUGGCCCAUUGCAAUUUGGGUAGAACCCCAUGGAAAAGUGGGGAACGACUCCGCCAAAGGGGGAGGGAUGGCACAGGGUUGCUUCCAUGGGCUGUCGUUCAAGCUCCGUUUUCGUGGAAGAUGUUGGGGUUAAAUUCCCGCAAACGAGCGCAAACCCCCUAUGUCCCUGUUGGCCACCCCGGUCGAGAGACUGGAGCACUCUGGACAGACUGCCUCGCUUAAACGGGGAGGAAGGUGGGGAUGACGUCAAGUCAGUAUGGCCCUUACGGCCAGGGCUGCACACGUACUACAAUGCCCGGCACAAAGGGAAGCAAGACCGUCAGGUGGAGCAAAUCCCAUAAAACCGGGCCCAGUUCAGAUUGCCGUCUGCAACUCGACGGCAUGAAGUUGGAAUCGCUAGUAAUGGCGCAUCAGCUACGGCGCCGUGAAUACGUUCCCAGGCCUUGUACACACCGCCCGUCACAUCAUGAAAGCCGGUUGUACCCGAAGUCGCUGUGUUAACCGCAAGGAAACAGGUGCCGAAGGUAUGGCUGGUGAUUGGGAUGAAGUCGUAACAAGGUAGCCGUAGGGGAACCUGCGGCUGGAUCAC
rnacentral:rRNA from 1 species